rnacentral:lncRNA from 1 species
GUUACUCAGUUGGUCACACUUCUCAAUGGCCACUAGAUCUAUUCAUAACCACCAUUUUAUUUUUCAAGCUACAUCGGUCCACUAAGGAGUAAGCCCUCCUUACCAAAGGCAACUAUGUUCUUAGGGCCCAAAUUUGAGAACUCUAGUUAAGCUGGCAUAGCGGCGAACCACUAAGCUACGUCCCUUAGUGGUAUAAAAUUGAGUGAUCAACGGAGUUU